UUUUCCUGCUCCUACAGAAAAGAAAGGACGUCCACUUUCCCUACACAAUCCCAUCAAAUUGCCACUUUAUAUAUACUUUACUUUAACACUUUAAAUCCCACCUGGAUUGUUGUUUUGAUCAGAUUUAUUUAUUCGAGUGGAUUCAAUAUUCAUCUUUCCCACUAACUCAGUAUACAACUUCACCUUUGGAUGAAGGAAUCACAUGAUCUUCUGAUAGAUGCAAUUAAAUUUUUUAGAAUUGCUCAGAAGAAAAUAUACAUACAAAUAAAAGACUCCAAAGAACAACUGCUAUGGCUGUAGUAUAGAGGACAGCCAAGUACGUAAUCUUGCCUUUCAAUCUGUGAGAUUUUGAGGGUGUUUCAUGAGACUCAGUUUCUUCAGUAGACAGUUUAUACAGAGUGGCUAGCACAGUGGUGCCAGACAAUAAUGAAGGAAGAGAUGGUACUGGAAGGACUAGGUCUAAGAGGUACACUGUUACUCACUGAGCAUUUCUACAAUAUCUCUGCAGAGCUCAAGUCAUCAUUCAAUUUGUUAUGUCUACUUUCUUCUUAAAGAAGGGAAAGGGAGACAUCUGGGACAGGAGGAGGAGACAGAAGGACAACAAUCAAUAAUGAAAGUUUUCCCUUGUUUGCAAAAAAAAAAAUCUGACAGACCUGCUUACCAAAGAACACCAAAAAUCACUUGGCAAGUUAAAAUAGCAGAGAAGAUAUGUCAGCUUGAGGGAGCUACUACCGGCAGAUACAAGGAUGAUAUAUUUGCUUAAGAUGAGCAGGUUUUUCUUUCAUCUCAAUACAGCACUUUUGGAUGAAAAAAAGAUAGGAAAGACGUGUGAGACAUUAACAUAAAGCCUGUUCUUAAUGUUUUUGCAUGCUUUUAUGUAAAGAAGCAUUGAUGUAAAACAAAUAUGUUGACUGUUGUAAAAUAACUGUGCAAAACAAAUGUAUUGAAUACAAAAGAUAGAGUAUUACAGAGAAAAACAUUUGUACACUCUUCAGGAUAAAGAAACUUGAUACUUGAUGAAAUAUUCUUUGCCAGCUGAAGAAAUCCAUUCAUCUUACAGAAAACUUAGUAUAUGUUUAAGAAAUUGUUAGCUACCAUUUUUGCAUAAAUAGCUGAUAUAAACGCAUCUUAUGCGAUUAUAAAAGGAAAUACUUCAAAAAGAUCACACUUUUACAGCAAACAGUGAAUGAGAACAGCAAACAGGAUAAUCUAGUGUACAUUGCACCUCUUCCAAUUCCUUUUCCCAUUUCUGUACCCCAUGACAUUCAGUUCAGCCAUUCUGCUGUGCUUCAGGACAGAUUUUGAGCAUUGCCUCAUCAAAACUAGUGAGAGGUAAAAAUCAAUGCAAUAAUGGAUGAGUAAAUAAAUACUAUUUUGUUUCUUUCUAUCCAGUUGGUUGAUUGCCCUGCUUUAUAAUGAAGUUUCCUAUAGAAGCAUCUUAGUAUCAAAUCCACAUAGGAAGUUUUCUUUAACAAACUUCACAGAUACCUAAAACCUAUUUUAACACAUGCCGGCCCACCUCUCACAACGACGUUACCUGAAUGGUGUAAUCCUGUUGCCAGAAUUCUGACCAGUCCCAGUGCAUACGGCGAUCAGCUGAAGAAUGAGGACACAGAUUAUAUCAUAAAUAACGAUGAACUGACCAAAAACUAUGAAGCAUCUGCUCACACACCAGUGCCUGCACAGGACAGAGCAGGCUGCAGCAGCCAGACUGCAGGCAAAGAAGAUAUUCAUGAAGGAGACCUUGGGUUAGGAGCAUACAAGCUCCAUCUUGAACACACUCCAGGUCAACCUGAGCUGAAUUCAUCGACAUGAACAGUGUAAUUUUAAAUCAUAAGAAAUAAGUAAACCAAAGAAAUAAAAGAUGUAACUUCAUGAACAAGAAGCAAGAAAAUAUAGUAAGGUUUCUUAGAUUUUUGUCGUAAGAUGUAACCAAGUAAGUUCUGGUUCCUCCACUGAAAAAAAAAAAUAGUAUCAUCUACACAACAAUAUGCAAUUUUUCUUUACUGCAGCACUUCUUAUUAAUAAAAGAUAGAUACUGCCAGCCCUCUGUAAAUCCAUUACAGUCACAUGUUGUCUUAGAUGGCAUUUGACUGCAUCAUGUCCCUUACACAUGUAUGCUUUCCUUUGAACAUUAAUUAUAAUCUUUAGUCUGCUGGGAUGAAGACAAAUACCUUCCUAACAUACUCAGAGCAUGUCUGAUACAAAGCUCCUAGAACCUUUGCAUUGAAGACUGGAUUCUCAGAGGUAAAAUGUGCUUAUUUUACUCUGUUUCAUCCUGGUAGCAAGAUCUGUGGUAGUUAGAAAAACAUGAGGAGAAUUUAAGUAUGAAAGUAUUGAUUAUAUCUGCAUAAAUGCAACAAUGGAAUAAACAAGGAUUCAAUCUCACACACAGUUAGAUGUCUUAUCCCUAUUAUUGUGUGCUAGCACAGACGAGCACUUGUACCUACUACACAGGUAGUGUAAACACAGGGAGAGAGCCAGACUCUCAUUAGGUCAUGUACUUUUUCUCACCUCCAGAGUUUCAACAAGCAGCACAUAAUAUUCCUGACUAAGCUUUUUAAGUAGGAUCAUUCUUAAUGCACACCAUAAGCAACGAAUUUGUAAUCUCUGAAAAAAUAUCAAGCUAUUUUCAUGAAUGUUUGUAAAGACAAAUAUAUCUUUAUUUCAACAUAGAUGGAAAUUGAAGUACAAAUUUAACUAUAAUCAAACCUUAGUCAUUCUUUUCCAGCCUAAUUAAUUAGUAAGUGCAACUAGAACAGCUGCUUUAAGCAUUAAAUUUGAACACUGGAGUUCUAUGUGCUGUUAUGAAAGAUCAGAAGCCUAGUUUGAAGUUUUAUUUUUCCCUAAAUACUAACCAAGAAAUUUCAAAGGAACUUAGUUCACAUGUGGUUUAAAAAAAUAAUAUACAUAUGUAUGUGUGUGUGUGUAUAACAGGUUAUGAGAAGGGAUGGAGAUAGGAUGAGGAUAUAAGAUUUUAUGGCCCAGUACCUGUGCAUCCAGCAGCACAUCAUCAGAAUGGCAAAGAGAGCAGUAAACAGGAUAAACAGGGUGUUACAAGCUGCAGUGAGAAAACUAUUAUGACAGAUGGGUAGAAGCACAGUACUGAUUUCAGUAGCCAGAGUUUCCAAUUUCUAUCUUCACAAGUUCUGAGUACUUCUCCCAGGUUUCCUAUGUUCCUUGAGAAGCAUGGACUCCCACCCUUAGCCUAUAGCACAAAUCAAUAAGCUGUUGCAGAAUUUCAAAGAUGCCAAGCUGUUUUUCCCAACUGCUACACGUACUGGAAAUGACAAGCUCUUAACCAAAAGUUCUGGUCUGCAAUGCAUCCUGCAGCACCCUGUGGAAUUUUUACUGAUUUAUUGUACCUACGUCCAAAUUUCUCAUACUUCUGAGAAACAUGAUAAAUGAAGAACUCCGGGGUCUGAAAUUCUAUUUAUUCUAAAAAGAAUCAAUAGUGAAAACACUCUUCACUGUUCUAUGUGCACGCCUAAAAGUCCAUAUUACUUGGUAAAGAAAGUCAUUUCUUGUAACAGAAGUGCUCAUUCUUCAUGUCUUCGCAUAUCAGAUUUUUAUGCUAAGCUUGUCAGGAGGCUGAAUCAAAGGUCCCAGCAAGAUGGGGUUUUGUCCUCUAAGGCUAAGCUCAGCCAGCCAUAUAGUAUCACUGUUUUUUAGGAAAACUGGUAAAGCGAGCUGCAAGAAAACAUGAAUCUUCUCCUGAAAGGCAAUAAAAGCCUUAGUGAUUCAUUACACUAUUCAGCCAUGCCAUUUUUUAAUUUUGAGCUAUUCUUUUCAACACAUGCAGUUCAAGAGAGUUAAGACUAUGGUAGAAGAGAUGAUGUAUCUGUAUCCGAGUAGAAACUGCCGGCAACUAUUAAUUCUGCACAACCUUUUAAACAGCAUAAUGAAUGUUGAGAGGCCUCUAAUGUUAAUUUAUAGUUUGUACUCCGGAGAUUUAAACUAUUAAAUAUCAGUGUUUGAACAUGAAAGUUACUCAUGAUAAAUGUGAAUUUAUUCUUCCUAUCUGAGCUAAUCUAAUAAAACAGUACUUGGAAAAAUAAAAUGUAAAAUACUGUCAAAACAUAGUGACUGCACAUGCAGUAUGAAGUCCAAAAUAUUAUGAAACAAAAAUCUGUUCAAUCACUAAACCUUUCAGGUUUCAGAAGUAAUAACUGAAGUUUUAUACUUAGCUGCUGAGAGUGUUUGGCAAACAUUCAAAGCAGCAGAAUGACUCUUGGAUAUGUAGGAGAGCCAGUCCCAAAGACAUUGUACUAAAAAUAUCAUGUCACGAUGCUAACUUUCACAGAGAACUGUAACAUUUGGUAACCUCACUGAAAGCAGAGGCCACUCGGAGCAAGCAUUUACACUGCUGUGCUAAAAGCUCUAACUUUUCCAUAGUAACUGGUUAGGGCUAACUUCAGAAAACCAAUUAUGUCUGUGCAGAACUUCAGCUGUGCAGAACUUCAGAACUGAACUGAAACCAAAAUUACUCUUUCCAUAAAGCAACUUAAGUGCCUUGCUGGGCUUAGGAUGGUCCAUACAACAGGUCUUUCUUUCCUUUCAAAAACUGGCAUGUAUUUUGCUAUCAGCCAUCAAGUAAUGCAGUAAUAUCCUCUCCAGUCUUCAUGUUUCCAAUUGUAUUCUUCCAGCUUUCCCACUAUUAACAGCCACACUGGCUUCCUCCCACACAAGCCCAGCCUUGCUCUGGACCAACCCUUGCUCUGGGCUGUCUUCCCCCUGUGGCAGAGAAGGCACAGAGUGCUGCACAAGCUCUGCUGCAUGAUGGCUGUAAUAGCAACAACUCUGCUUCCAAACAAUUUUUCCAUCAGAGCAGAGGAAAAAUUUUCCCCAUAUAAUUUACUGUCACUGGUCACUAUUAUUUCCUUCCAAAAUUAGAUUUGAGGCACAGAAGAACAAAUAUUGUUUCAGGCCUCAGAGGAUUCCCAAAUCUGAACAAGUCAAAUUACCGUCAUCCUUCUGAGGACACAGCUCAAAAUCUUGGUGCCAGAAACAGCAGAGAAUGCCCGGGAGUGUUUUCCAGCCCAUGUUCUACAUCAUUCUUUACUACGCAGCUGUCUGCUUCUGUAUGUCCAUCAGCACGGAAGCAGAUGGACAUAAAUAAAACACUACUUUAUUCAGUAAGGAUUUGAAACUAGAGAGCAGUACACCUAACAAUCUAAAACACUGACAAAAAAAACUUCACGCUACGAUAGUAGGCAUUAUGUAGGUCUAGGACAAGUUAUACAAGUUAUACACAAGUGAAUUGAAGUAGAAUAAUAUCCCAUAAGUAUAAUGAGAUUUCUGACUCCAGAGGUACAGUUCCAUCUAAAUAUAACCCAGUACUUCUGCAUACAUGCCUGAAUGGAAACAAAAAUAAGAGAGAAAAGGAAAUGAGUAAAUGAAUGAUGAAGGAAGAAAGAGGGUAGCAAGGCAGGGAGAAAUCAGUGCCAGAGAAGAUAUUCAGACUGAAAACGAUUACCAAGACAUUCUGUCGUAACUGCAGACUAAUGAAGUAUUGGCCAAGAGCACUAGAAACCAAGAACUAACUUGAAAAAUUCUGCUAAAAGCUGCCAGAGCCAUAUUCAUGACUCAAAUACUGUACUAUAAGGCCUAAAAGGGAGCCACAUGUACCAGAUGAAGAUUGAUCAAAUUUAAAGAAAACGAAGGAAAAGGAGCUGGGGUGAAAGGCUAAUUCUUCUGCAGCACUCUUAGCAAAGCAAUAGCUGGCUGAUAUUUGUGCAAGUUUGAAUAAACAACUGAAGAUAUAAA